CCUACGGGUGGCAGCAGUGGGGAAUAUUGCACAAUGGGGGAAACCCUGAUGCAGCGACGCCGCGUGAGUGAAGAAGUAACUCGUUAUGUAAAGCUCUAUCAGCAGGGAAGAAAAUGACGGUACCUGAGUAAGAAGCCCCGGCUAACUACGUGCCAGCAGCCGCGGUACUACGUAGGGGGCAAGCGUUAUCCGGAUUUACUGGGUGUAAAGGGAGCGUAGACGGCGGUGCAAGUCUGGAGUGAAAGGCAGGGGCGAAACCCCCGGACUGCUCUGGAAACUGGACGGCUGGAGUGCAGGAGAGGCAAGUGGAAUUCCUGGUGUAGCGGUGAAAUGCGUAGAUAUCAGGAGGAACACCAGUGGCGAAGGCGGCUUGCUGGACUGUAACUGACGUUGAGGCUCGAAAGCGUGGGGAGCAAACAGGAUUAGAUACCCGGGUAGUC
rnacentral:rRNA from 1 species